rnacentral:lncRNA from 1 species
ACAGCUGCCAUUUUUUCUUAAAUCGAAGAUAAAUUGUGUCUAUAAUUUUGUAUGUGUGUAUAUUAGUUGUGGAUUGGAUAAGCGAGUUUUGAGGAGAGGUUGAAAUGAAUAUAGAGAUUGGAUAGGAAGGUGGGUGUAUAUAUAGAGAGAGAUGUGGGGAGAGAGAUUGGGAGAGAGAGAGAUUAGACGGAAGCUGUGGGUUAAGGAGAUAAAAGCGAAUGUCAUUAUCCAUUGGCCGUGAGAAAGUCUAUCUUAUCCGACCCCUUGCUUUGAGUUUGGUCCUAGUCAUGCUUUUUUAACUUUUCUUUAUCCUUUCGAAUAUUCCGGAUUUUAAUUUAAUUUGAAAAUUAUUGUUUGUUGCUUAAUUAUUGUUUUUCUUGUCCUUUUUAUUUCAGCGUACCUCCUAUCGUCGGUGGCUAGUAGAUAUUUCUGGAUCAAAAUUUACAGUCAUAUGUUCAUUCAUAAAGCUAGUGGUGACAAUCAAAAUGAAAAAGAGCGAGUAUUUUACUUUUUAUAAAUAGGUUUAUGACUGAAAUACAAUUUUUUAAAUUUUUCUACAUUUAAGUUCUAUACCUCUGAGUUUCUGACUUGAUUUUGGAAAAAACUACUACUAUAAUUUCGAUGAUUAGCUGUGUAAAAUACAUAGAAAAAAUAUUAAAAAUUAGAUUACUUGCGGUGAGAAAUCAUAUGACUUGACGUGGCGCCACGAUAUAGUUGGCACGUAUUUCAAUGAACGAAAAGUUGGAGUCAUUUCCAAAGAUUAAACUGAAUUAAUUAUCCCUAUAAAUUUUUGAAAACAAAAGAAUAGUCUGACAAAAAAAUGAAGGAGAGUCCUUUUAAUUGUAAAUGAUCAUCUGGAUAAGAGCAUAGACACGUGUACCACAUGUAGUGGAGCGCUUCUUUCAAAGCUGCCGGGUAAACAGUACACACGAGAUCUACUUUAUUUCGUUUAUGUUGAACACGGGUAAUUCUAUUACACACGGUUUCGAGUUUAUUUAUUUGACCGUUCGCUGUUGAAAUGUAGCCGGAUCUCGUUUUAAUAUUCUCCAAGAUUCUUUCCAGGGAAGUAUGAUCAUUCGUUUAUAUAUUUCUCUGUCAAAUGUGAGUCAUCUGUGAUUCGAUUAGGAGCAUCUCCACCAUGAAGACCCCUUAGCUAAAAUUUUAAUUAUCAUAUCAAAAAUAAAAAUUAUAGCUAAUGGCUUCAAAAAUUUAAACUCCAACCAUCCCCACCUGUUAUCUAUAAUUAUAGUCAACCUGCUAUGGAUGACUAUAUUUGUCGAUCCACUACAGGUCUGUAAGAAAAUUUGUAGAAUAUUACACAUCACUUAUUACCAUAUCAAAGUCAUAUAUUCUAUUUAUAACAAUCGAAAAUAUUAAUAACAUACUAUUUUUAAAUUACAGCCAACCAAUAUAGUCAUAACCAUCGAAGCAAAAUGUCUUACGGGUUCAGCAAAUUUUACAUAAUAUUUUACCGGUCCAAUUUAGCCAACCAUUACAGCCAACGCCGUUCGAGAUGCUCUAAUGAUUAAACAUGGUUAAUUCAUUUUGUUUUUCGAGUAUACUACUUCCUCAAUUUUAUUGAACUAGCUGAGAAGCCGUGCGUUGCGGCGGUNUAUUGAGCUAAUACAUGAAUCAAAAAUUCCCAUUUUCAAAAUACACAAACAAGUUUCCUUAUACUGGGGCGUGAAAUAUAAAUUAGAAUCAAGUUAAAAUUUAUAAAUGAUUAAAAUGUUUGAGAAAUAAGUAGAAAUCAUGAAACAAAAACUAAAAUAAGUGUUUAUAAUUUAUAAAUCAAGUCGGCUUUUAAGCCAUGACCAAACACCAUCUACAACAGGAAUUUUAGUGGGGAUUUAGAUCAUGAUGAUCACAACUCAUCGAAGGAAGAAAUUGCAAACAUAACUUGGCAAAACAACAUUAAAAUAUUGAGCCAAGCGUGAGCCAAGCGUAUAACAACAUUUGGAUUCAACUUAUUAGAAUGUACAUACACCGGAAACAAACACAACGCCCUAAACUCAUCAAAUCAAUCUUCAUAAACCGCGAUUGAUCUGACGUCAACUUCAACUGGGCGGUCGGUUCCAAUAAACUCAACUCAAACCCCACCUUAAAUUAAAACAAACCAUGAUAAUUACGACAAUUGAUGAAAAUCAAAUGUAAGGAUUAAUAUGCGACGAAUAAUCACGAAUCCCAGCGCCUUCCCAGCCCAUCCACUCCUCCCACAUGUCCCAAUCUGGAUCGUACAUUCCUCUCAUCUGCUCAUCGUCCUCAUCGCCACCGUACAUUCUCCUCUCGUUAUUCUCCGCGGCCUCCUCUUCUUCUCGUAACCUAUUCAUCAAAGCCUCGUACGCUUCGUUUAUUUGAUGAAACUGGACCCCACAGUUGUUCCCCCUACACACAUCCGGAUGAUACUGCGACACAAAAUAAAUCGUAACCGUUAUAAAUAAUACACAAAUCCGUGAAUGACACGAAAUAAAAAUUAGUCAAAUUAAUCAGAAAUUAAUCAAAUAAUUAAUUGAAUAAUCAAAGAUUCAACCUAUUCCACAAAAUCACCAAUUUUUAGAACAAUGAUCAAGAACAUUAAUUUAGACAAAUUAAUACACAAAUCCGUGAAGACACGAAAUAAAAAUUAGUCAAAUUAAUCAGAGAUUAAUCAAAUGAUUAAUUGAAUAAUCGAAGAUUUAACCGAUUCCACAAAAACAAAUUGAACAAUGAUCGAGAACAUUAAUUUGGACAAAAUUAUUCAUUUAUCGAGAUUUAUUGAAAAACAAAAUUAUUUAUUUAUCGAGAAUUUAAUAUGUACCUGCAGUGCGAGGCGUCGGAAGGCUUUUUUGACUUCGGAUUCGGAGGCACCGGGAUGAACGUUGAGAGUUUUGUAAGGAUCAGAAGAAACGGGGCUAUACAUGGAAUUAACCUUGAAUCGAUUAUUCUUCUUUUUUCUCGCUAAAUCUCUCUGAAACGAAUUCGAUCUCGAUGAGCACGAGCCACUGCCGCCUAAUAAUCCCCCAACAGCUGCCAUUUUUUCUUAAAUCGAAGAUAAAUUGUGUCUAUAAUUUUGUAUGUGUGUAUAUUAGUUGUGGAUUGGAUAAGCGAGUUUUGAGGAGAGGUUGAAAUGAAUAUAGAGAUUGGAUAGGAAGGUGGGUGUAUAUAUAGAGAGAGAUGUGGGGAGAGAGAUUGGGAGAGAGAGAGAUUAGACGGAAGCUGUGGGUUAAGGAGAUAAAAGCGAAUGUCAUU